rnacentral:rRNA from 1 species
CUACGAAGUAGGAAGUGCCCUUCGGGGGCCGGCAAGACAGGUGCUGCAUGGCUGCGUCAGCUCGUGUCGUGAGAUGUUGGGUUAAGUCCCGCAACGAGCGCAACCCUUAUCUUUAGUUACCAUCAUUCAGUUGGGGACUCUAAAGACACUGCCCCGGUCAACGGGGAGGAAGGUGGGGAUGACGUCAAGUCCUCAUGGCCUUUAUGUCCAGGGCUACACACGUGCUACAAUGGGCAGUACAAAGGGUAGCAAGCCUGCGAAGGUGAGCCAAUCCCAAAAAGCUGUUCGUAGUUCGGAUUGGAGUCUGCAACUCGACUCCAUGAAGCUGGAAUCGCUAGUAAUCGCGGAUCAGCAUGCCGCGGUGAAUACGUUCCCGGGCCUU